GGGUGGGGCCAGAUAAGAGAAUAAAAGCAGGCUGCCCAAGCCAGCAGUGGCAACCCGCUUGGGUCCCCUUCCACACUGUGGAAGCUUUGUUCUUUCACUCUUUGCAAUAAAUCUUGCUACUGUUCACUCUUUGGGUCCACACUGCUUUUAUGAGCUAUAACACUCACCGCAAAGGUCUGCAGCUUCACUCCUGAAGCCAGCGAGACCACAAGCCCACUGGGAGGAACGAACAACUCCAGGCGCGCAAUGAACAACUCCAGGCGCGCCGCCUUAAGAGCUGUAACACUCACCGCGAAGGUCUGCAGUUUCACUCCUAAGCCAGCGAGACCACGAACCCACCAGAAGGAAGAAACUCCAAACACAUCUGAACAUUAGAAGGAACAAACUCCAGAUGCGCCACCUUAAGAGCUGUAACACUCACCGCGAGGGUCCACGGCUUCAUUCUUGAAGUCAGUGAGAGACCAAGAACCCACCAAUUCCGGACACAUUUUGGCGACCAUGAAGGGACUUUCGCCUAUUGCCAAGCGGUGAGACAAUCGCUGAGCAGUGAGACCAUCACCUAUUGCCGAGCGGUGAGACCAUUGCCUAUCGCCAAGCAAAUCGAGGCCAUCAAGCUACAGAUGGUCUUACAAAUGGAACCCCAAAUGAGUUCAACUAACAACUUCUACCGAGGACCCCUGGACUGACCAGCUGGCACUUCCCCUGGCCUAGAGAGUUCCCCUCUGAAGGACACUACAACUGCAAAGCCCCUUCUUCGCCCCUAUCCAGCAGGAAGUAGCUAGAGCAGUCAUCGGCCAAAUUCCCAACAGCAGUUGGGGUGUCCUGUUGAUUGAGGGGAGACAGCAUGCUGGCAGUCCUCACAGCCCUCACUCGCUCGCUCACUCUCGGCACCUCCUCUGCCUGGGCUCCCACUUUGGCAGCACUUGAGGAGCCCUUCAGCUCUGUAUCUAGCUACUCUGAUGGGUCCUUGGAGAACCUUUAUGUCUAGCUCAGGGAUUGUAAAUACACCAAUCAGCACCCUGUGUCUAGCUCAGGGUUUGUGAAUGCACCAAUGGACACUCUGUAUCUAGCUACUCUGGUGGGGCCUUGGAGAACCUUUGUGUCAACACUCUGUAUCUAACUAACCUGGUGGGGAUGUGGAGAACCUUUGUGUCUAGCUCAGGGAUUGUAAACGCACCAAUCAGUGCCCUGUCAAACCACUCGGCUCUACCAAUCAGCAGGAUGUGGGUGGGGCCAGAUAAGAGAAUAAAAGCAGGCUGCCCGAGCCAGCAGUGGCAACCCGCUCAGGUCCCCUUCCACACUGUGGAAGCUUUGUUCUUUCGCUCUUUGCAAUACAUCUUGCUACUGCUCACUCUUUGGGUCCACACUGCUUUUAUGAGCUGUAACACUCACCACAAAGGUCUGUAGCUUCACUCCUGAGCCAGCGAGACCACGAACUCACCAGAAGGAAGAAACUCCAAACACAUCCGAACAUCAGAAGAAACAAACUCCAGACGCACCACCUUAAGAGCUGUAACACUCACUGUGAGGGUCCAUGGCUUCAUUCUUGAAGUCAGUGAGACCAAGAACCCACCAAUUCCGGACACACAACCGGCCAUGUGACAGGCUCAGGGAAGGACAUGUGACUCAAGGCAGGCCAGUGAAGUGCAAUUCUAGGUUAGACUGGCCGGGAAGGAGCGGCCGUGUUUUCUGUUGAUGGAUGCUGCUGCCCUCUCCUCAACCUCUCACGCUCUGCACUACAGACAACCUCCUUGGGGCUGAGGCCAGCACAGCGCAAAGCACAGCAAGAGGGGAGCCCGAGCCCCUGGAUCCAGCCAUCCUCCACGGCAAGCUCAGACCACCCGCUCCCUCAGCUCUUUCACAGAACCCUGGUCUACCUAGUUGAUGUCUUAUAUAAUUCCACUAUUAUCUGUGAUUAAUUAAUGUGGAACCACAUGA